CUUCUUGUGUGUUAACAGGUCAUUGGCACUGCUGUAUCACAACAUCAUUUGCUGGCAUGUACAUCUAGGAUGCGAUCAAUCCAGAUGAGAUUCUCUCCAAUGCCAGCAAACCGACAGUGGAAGACACGAGCUAGCACUUCUCCCCCCACAUUGCCUCAGGCUUUUGAGAUACCCACUUAUAACUGCUUCUCCCCCCUAUGUUGGGAUCACCGGGGCCUCCAUCGCCCGGCAUGUACACGCUACAUUAGGUCAAUUAUGUGAGCUGCAGUCUGGAUCCUGCCUCUGUCAGAUCACCUAACACAAAUGGAAAGAUGACAUCGACCCUUGCAAGGACUUCAGACGAUGCCAGCACUGGACUACAUACAGUGCGUUUGGGUGAGAUCUAGACCGAGGACUAAGGCGUAUACUAGGACAUAACUAAGUGUUGUGGCCCACAGGUGAUCCUAAAGCAACAAAGAGGAACCAUGGAGAGGAAGAAGUGGUGUCCAGAUGUUAAAAGGCGGUGUUCGGGACAGGAAACAAAGGCAACAAAGAGGAACCUCUAAGGUUUAAAGCCACUGCUUGCAGAGACAA